rnacentral:Y_RNA from 1 species
UACUGGUCUAAUGGUACUGAGUUAUCAGAACUUAUUAACAUUAGUGUAACUAAAGUUAGUAUACAAUCCCCCUUUGCUAAAUUUGAUUGGCUUUAA